rfam:Serendipita vermifera MAFF 305830 unplaced genomic scaffold scaffold_21, whole genome shotgun sequence.
GCCCGGUUAGCUCAAUCGGUAGAGCGUGAGACUUUUAUGCAUGCAUAAUCUCAAGGUUGCGGGUUCGACCCCCGCAUCGGGCU